rnacentral:rRNA from 1 species
GACGGAGGAUGCAAGCGUUAUCCGGAAUGAUUGGGCGUAAAGCGUCUGCAGGUGGCAGUUCAAGUCUGCUGUCAAAGACCGGGGCUUAACUUCGGAAAGGCAGUGGAAACUGAACAGCUAGAGUAUGGUAGGGGCAGAGGGAAUUCCUGGUGUAGCGGUGGAAUGCGUAGAGAUCAGGAAGAACAUCGGUGGCGAAGGCGCUCUGCUGGACCACAACUGACACUCAGGGACGAAAGCUAGGGGAGCGAAUGGG